AACGUAGGAGACAAACGUUAUCCGGAGUUACUGGGCGUAAAGGGCGUGUAGGCGGUUUGUUAAGUCUGGCGUGAAAGCUCUCGGCUAAACCGGGAGAGGUCGUUGGAUACUGGCAAACUAGAGGAUGGUAGAGGCGUGUGGAAUUCCGGGUGUAGAGGUGAAAUUCGUAGAUAUUCGGAAGAACACCAGUGGCGAAGGCGGCUCACUGGACUGGUAUUGACGCUGAGGUGCGAAAGCGUGGGGAGCAAACAGG
rnacentral:rRNA from 1 species